rnacentral:rRNA from 1 species
AACGGCCGUACCAUGCUAAAUAUACAGGUUCUCGUUAGAUCACCGAAGUUAAGCAUCAUUGGGCGCGGUCAGUACUUGGGUGGGUGACCACCUGGGAACACUGCGUGCCGU